GGGACGCAGAGCUGGCUCCUUCAGCAUUGUGUGUGUCUGGCCACUGCCCACCCACCCGCCUGCACCCAGAGUGUGGCUCCGAGCUCGGGGCUCAGGCCCUCCUGGAGGAGUGUGAGGGCGCCUGAGGCAGGUCCAGGGCCGUGAGAAAUCCAGGGAGACCACUUCUCGAGGGGACUCCCUUCCCACCUGGCCACCAUGCGCCGCGUGACAGGCACACACUGCCUGGCAUGUCCCCUCAAGGGGACUCCUGGGAGGGAAGGAACUGCACAGACAUGUCUCCUUAGGGGCCGGGUCUGGGGUACGAAGCUGGGGGGCAGAGCUGGUCCUAGGAAGCCAGGAGUGGCUCAGGGGUCAGCUGAGUCCAGAACAGGAGGAAGGCAUGUCUGUGGGCGGGAAGGACAGGGAGCCUGGGGUCCCCAUCAUGCAGGGGCCCCUCCGACAGCAGGGGCCUCAGGAUGCCCUCCAGCGCUAGGGCAGUGUCCAUGCCCCGGGGCAGCUCUGCCCCUGUUACCUGACUUUAAUGCCACUCCUGGAGAGCAGCCCUGGGCCCGGUCCCUUCUCAGACAGAAAACCGCCCACCCGCCUGCCGUGAUGGCGUUGGGCAGUCCCAGGGGCGCUGGACCGAGAACUUGGUGGGCUAGAGUUUUGAGACCAAAGGAAAACGGGGAGGGGGAGGAGACCCCCUGACUCCUCCUUCCUGAGUAGACGGCCAGCUUCCAUCAGCAGCCCCUGCUCCAUGUCAGCUGAGCGUCGUCUUGUCCCUUGCUGGUCACACUGGGACCACCGGACGCCGUGGAAACGGACGAAACAGUGGUAACAAAUGCUGAAUGUGGACAUGAGCUCAGGUUGCAGCUCCCCGUCGCCUUUCCCUGUACGUCUGUCUUUAGCGGGUGAAGAGAGGCGCUGCUGAGAAGCACUGACCUCGCUGGGUGGGUGUGGCUCUCACCCACCCUUGGGCGUGUGGGCACCUGUCUCCAGCGUCUGUUGGGUGGUUUUGCCGCUAAGCAAGCCCGCUCUCUUUAAGGAUCAUUCACUUACGAGACCUCCCAUAGUUUUUUACUUGCAGUCUCCAGCCUCCUCGUGGCGUUAACUCUGUAAUCACUUACUUUGUCCUUCUACUCCGUCCCUUCCACCACCCUAUGGCCCCAGAAACAGCCAGCCGGAUACAGCAACUAACUCAGAUUCGUUUGUUUGUUUCUUGGUUGGUUUUUUGGGGUUUUUUUUUUGGCAGCAUGUGGGAGUUCCUGGGCCAGGGACCGACCCCGCGCCACCGUAGCAACCCAAGCCGCUGUAGUGACCGUGCCAGAUCUUUAACCCACUGCACCACAGGAGAGCUCCCUAACUCGGAUAGUUCUAAUGCUUUCUGGUUGGGUCUCUUGAGGCCCAGCCGCCCUUUAGGAAGACAUGCACUUUUAAGAGGUAGCCCUGCCUCCUUCCCACACACGUGCCUCUUUUUCCCCCCCUUUCUUUUCAGGGCCGCACCCACAGCCUAUGAAACUUCCUGGGCUAGGGGUCUAAUCAGAGCUACAGGUGCCAGCCUACACCACAGCCACAGCCGCAGCAACGCCGGAUCCAAGCCACAUCUGCCCCCACAGCACAGCUUGUGGCAACGCCGGGUCCUUAACCCACUGAGCGACUCCAGGGAUCAAACCUGCGUCCUCAUGGAUGAUAGCUGGGUUCUUAACCCACUGGGCCACAGCAGGAACUCCCACAUUUGGCUCUUAAAGUACCCCUGGGUGGGUUGCUCUUUCUUCCAAGCCAAGGAGCCUUGACUGAACAGGGUCGCAAAGGUUCAUCCCUGGGAAGCUGCGUGAGUAACGUGCAGAGAAGGAGAUAGGAGUCCUUCUCUGACAAAGUCCGCCGGACACUGCGUGUCGGCUGUUGGUGUGGAACCCGCUGGGCAGCUCCAGCCUGGCCGAGAUAACCCGCGCGACAGAAAGAGCGAGAGGCAGAGCGGCUGGAGCCCGGCUGUGAAUGUGCCCCCCUGCAGAUGUGUUUGAUCUCUCAGGGUUUACGGAAGGCCCACCACGCACCAGGCUGCAAACAGACAGAUGAGGCCCCUGCUCUCGGGGAACUCGUGUUCGGGUGGGGUAAGAUCGAGGUGAGGUUUUCAGAGAGAGGCAGUUCCUGGUGGCUCGGGAGGUUACUGCACUGUCACUGCAGCAGCCAGGUCACUGCUGUGGCGCAGCUUUGAUCCCUGACCUGGGAGCUUCUGCAUGCCUUGGGCGUGGCCAAAAAAGAAAAAAAAGAGGGAGAGGGCUAGAAUUUCAGAUAAAGAAUAUAAACCUGGGGAGUUCCUGGUGGUGCAGUGGGUUAAUGAUCCAGCUUUGUCUCUGUGGAGGCACCAGUUCGAUCCCCGGCCCACUGCAGUGGGUUAAGGAUCCAGUGUUGUUGCUACGGCUGUUGCAGCAGCUGUGGCACAGGUCACUGUUCCAGCUCAGAUUUUCUUUUCUUUUUUGCCUUUUCUAGGGCCGCUCCCGUGGCAUCUGGAGGUUCCCAGGCUAGGGGUCGAAUCGGAGCCGUAGCCACCGGCCUACACCAGAGCCACAGCAACGCAGGAUCCAAGCCACAUCUGAAACCUACACCACAGCUCACGGCAACUCCAGAUCCUUAACCCACUGAGCCAGGCCAGGAACCUAACCCACAACCUCACGGUUCCCAGUCAGAUUUGUUAACCACUGCGCCAUGACGGUACCUCCUCCAGCUCAGAUUUGAUCCCUGGCCCGGGGGCUUCCAUAUGCUAUCGGCGCAGCCCCCCCCAAAAGAUAAAUCCUGGCUAGGGGAUUGAGCUGGGGGAGCCACUUUUGAUUCCAGGGCUCAGGGAGGCCUCUUGGAGGUAGUGACAUGUGAACUGAGAGCUGCCUGGGAAGACCUGACGGAAGAGACUCCACAGCAGAGGGAACGGCACGUGCAAAGGGCCUGUGGCACAGCCCAUGCGGGCACAUCGCCUUUGUGACAGAGCCCUGGAUGUCCUCCAGCGCCUCUUGCACGCCCGUCAUGCCCGUCCCGUGGGAUGAAGGGGUUGCAAAGGUCCACCCGGGCCCCGAGGGAGGAGUGCAGGCCCACCUCUUUUCUCUUUCUGUUUAGGGCCACUCCCACAGCACAUGGAGGCUUCCAGGCUGGGGGCUGCAUCAGCUACAGCUGGUGACACACCACAGCCACGGCGAUGCCGGAUCCUUAACCCACGGAGCCAGGCCAGAUGGAACCCUCGUCCUUGUGGACACGAGUCGGAUUCAUUUCACUGCGCCACAGCAGGAACUCCCAGGCCCACGUCUUGCUGGACAUGGUCACGGUCACAUUGUAGGAUGAGCUGUCCAAAGGCGGAUCCAUCCCCACCCAGAGAAGGAUUCAAGCAUCGAAUAUUAGCGGCCAUGGUGUGUGCUCCCCACGUGCCAGGCACAGUCCUGGGAGCUUUGCACAGUCCUGGGAGCUUUACACGGUCUGAUGCGUCCGCACAGCCACCCUCAACAGACAUGCCCAUUUCAUCCGUGAGACAACAAGCCAAAGAGGCUGAGCCGCAUGCUUCAGGCCACACAGCCUACACGUGCCUGAGCUGAAGUUCAGACCCGGCCCCUACUGAUUCAGGGCCUGUCUGCCCACCCAGGUGGCCCCCACCCCCGACAGGAGCGACUUGGGUGGGUGCCUCACACCAGCUGCGUGAGAGGCCCGUGGGCUCCACCCCUGCCAGCAAGGCCUGCCCGGGUCUGCACCUUGGGACUCUGGUGCUGUCACUGGGUCCUGGUCCCGGCCGGCGUCCUCGGCACCCCUCCCCUUUGCAGUUACAUCCCAACGUGAGGCUAGAGUUUCUUCAUAUGCUUUGGCCAAAGCAACACCCAAUCACCGCCGACUGUACGUGGAGCGCCUGUAACAACCCAGCUGCUUCCUGUUCAACCAGACACUAAAGAGACUGCCAAAAAGCAAAGGAAGGCCACUCCUGACACUAAAAUAUUUUGUCUUG
ensembl:lncRNA